CUUCUCUGGUAACUCAAGGCGAAUCUGCGGUUGUCCGCGAAACCAACGUCCAGGAGCCUGCUCCAGAUCUGAACAUGGAGGAGAAAACAGUUGUUUCCUGCCUCAUAGACGGUGAAUGGGUAAGAUGCGCUUGAGUGAUAAUUCGUGGUCGAGCAACAAACUACAACACCGAUAAUCAUCAAAAUCGACAACAUGCAAAACCGACAACCCUGGAGGCUGAUAAUUAUACUAAUAAUAGUAAUUACCUAUGUUUAAUACAUAAAAUUAAAGCAAAACAUUUUCCAUAUUCUUAGCUUAUACAAAGUGAAGAUAAGUAUGUACAGGUAGCUUUUUAUCCGUUAAUAAACGGACAUAAUUUAAUACUUUACUAUUAUUCAUAUUCCAUGCCGAAAUUACAAAGCACAAUAGAUUUCACACACCAAAAAAAAAAUCGAUAUUUCUUUAUAUUAUGCAUGUAUUGAAGUAAAUAAUCCUGAAUCAGAGUAAUUUAACCCAUUGCUUACUGGAACCUGGUGGUCUCUGUGUUAAGUCUAU